ACACGCUUCUUUAUAAUCCCAUAUGAAUUACAUUGCUAUGGAAUGUAAGGAAGUGUGUGG
rnacentral:pre_miRNA from 1 species